rnacentral:rRNA from 1 species
UACAGAGGGUGCGAGCGUUGUCCGGAAUUACUGGGCGUAAAGGGCGCGUAGGCGGCUUGAUAAGUAUGGGGUGAAAUCUCACGGCUCAACCGUGAGGCUGCCUUGUAGACUGUCAGGCUUGAGCACGGUAGAGGCAGAUGGAAUUCCCGGUGUAGCGGUGGAAUGCGUAGAGAUCGGGAAGAACACCAGUGGCGAAGGCGGUCUGCUGGGCCGUAGCUGACGCUGAUGCGCGACAGCGUGGGGAGCAAACAGGAUUAGAUACCCUGGUAGUCCACGCCGUAAACGAUGGGCACUAGGCGUCGGGGGGAGCGACCCUCCCGGUGCCGUCGCUAACGCUGUAAGUGCCCCGCCUGGGGAGUACGGCCGCAAGGCUGAA